CAAAUUUUUAUCGAGAUUUCCUUUCCCGCACAAAUGGACAAUUUGAUAUUUUGAUGUCAGUUCUUUUAAUGAUUCCCUAACCACCUCAUUAAUUUUUUUUGCGCCCAAGCUCCCUCCCAUAAUCGUUAAUACUGGAAGCCUUUCGUGAAAUCCAAGAAAUAUCC
rnacentral:ncRNA from 1 species